rnacentral:rRNA from 1 species
UGUAAGCGUAUACCAAAGUUGUUGCAGUUAAAACGCUCGUAGUCGGAAUUUGGCAGUUCCGGAAGUGUGCACGUCGUGUGCGCACUUUGCGGGGACUGCUUUUGUGGUCUUGCGUAGGAUGAGGCACUUUCAUUAGUGAACGUCCUCACGCAACCACUCUCUACUGUGAGAAAAUCAGAGUGCUCAAAGCAGGCAUUUGCCGUGAAUGUAUUAGCAUGGAAUAAUAGAAUAGGACUCGGUUCUAUUUUGUUGGUUUGUUGGGACUGAGUAAUGAUUAAGAGGGACAGUUGGGGGCAUUUGUAUUCCGGCGCUAGAGGUGAAAUUCUUAGAUUGCCGGAAGACAAACUGCUGCGAAAGCGUCUGCCAAGGAUGUUUUCAUUGA